rnacentral:rRNA from 1 species
AUACGUAGGAUUCGAGCGUUAUCCGGAUUUAUUGGGUUUAAAGGGCGCGUAGGCGGCCUUUUAAGUCAGCGGUGAAAGUCUGUGGCUCAACCAUAGAACUGCCGUUGAAACUGGGGGGCUUGAGUAUGUUUGAGGCAGGCGGAAUGCGUGGUGGGGCGGGGGAAUGCAUAGAUAUCACGCAGAACCCUGGUUGCGAAGGCGGCCGGAGAAGCCAUGACUGACGCUGAUGCACGAAAGCGUGGGGAUCAAACAGGAUUAGAUACCCUGGUAGUCCACGCAGUAAACGAUGAUCACUAGCUGUUUGCGAUACACUGUAAGCGGCACAGCGAAAGCGUUAAGUGAUCCACCUGGGGAGUACGCCGGCAACGGUGAAACUCAAAGGAAUUGGCGGGG